UGAAUUGCAGAAUUCAGUGAAUCAUCGAAUCUUUGAACGCAAAUGGCGCUCUUGGGUUCUCCCAGGAGCAUGUCUGUCUGCGUGUCU
rnacentral:rRNA from 1 species